CAUGGGUUUUAUGAAUUUUUUUUAAUGCAUGCCUACUUUAAUGUGUUAAUAGUUUGCAUAUGUAUUCAAAUGUUCUUACUUGUUCUUAGCUAGGACAAAAUUUUUCCUUCACCUUUAACAUGGAUAUCCCUAAUAAGGAACGAGCUAAUCAUCAAAACAUUGAUCAACAUGAGACUUCUCUCAACCCAGCUGCUUCGACCCGGAGGAGGAGAAAUAGAGGAAGACACCUCCUUACAGAAGGGUUGGAAGGAUCGAAAGCCGUUUAUUGUGACUGCCGAGACUUCCUAAAGUAACGUCGAGAGAAUCCCUCCACAUAUGCUCGAAGAUCAAUG
rnacentral:lncRNA from 1 species